rnacentral:rRNA from 1 species
AGAGUUUGAUCCUGGCUCAGGAUGAACGCUGGCGGCGUGCCUAAUACAUGCAAGUCGAGCGAACGGACGAGAAGCUUGCUUCUCUGAUGUUAGCGGCGGACGGGUGAGUAACACGUGGAUAACCUACCUAUAAGACUGGGAUAACUUCGGGAAACCGGAGCUAAUACCGGAUAAUAUUUUGAACCGCAUGGUUCAAAAGUGAAAGACGGUCUUGCUGUCACUUAUAGAUGGAUCCGCGCUGCAUUAGCUAGUUGGUAAGGUAACGGCUUACCAAGGCAACGAUGCAUAGCCGACCUGAGAGGGUGAUCGGCCACACUGGAACUGAGACACGGUCCAGACUCCUACGGGAGGCAGCAGUAGGGAAUCUUCCGCAAUGGGCGAAAGCCUGACGGAGCAACGCCGCGUGAGUGAUGAAGGUCUUCGGAUCGUAAAACUCUGUUAUUAGGGAAGAACAUAUGUGUAAGUAACUGUGCACAUCUUGACGGUACCUAAUCAGAAAGCCACGGCUAACUACGUGCCAGCAGCCGCGGUAAUACGUAGGUGGCAAGCGUUAUCCGGAAUUAUUGGGCGUAAAGCGCGCGUAGGCGGUUUUUUAAGUCUGAUGUGAAAGCCCACGGCUCAACCGUGGAGGGUCAUUGGAAACUGGAAAACUUGAGUGCAGAAGAGGAAAGUGGAAUUCCAUGUGUAGCGGUGAAAUGCGCAGAGAUAUGGAGGAACACCAGUGGCGAAGGCGACUUUCUGGUCUGUAACUGACGCUGAUGUGCGAAAGCGUGGGGAUCAAACAGGAUUAGAUACCCUGGUAGUCCACGCCGUAAACGAUGAGUGCUAAGUGUUAGGGGGUUUCCGCCCCUUAGUGCUGCAGCUAACGCAUUAAGCACUCCGCCUGGGGAGUACGACCGCAAGGUUGAAACUCAAAGGAAUUGACGGGGACCCGCACAAGCGGUGGAGCAUGUGGUUUAAUUCGAAGCAACGCGAAGAACCUUACCAAAUCUUGACAUCCUUUGACAACUCUAGAGAUAGAGCUUUCCCCUUCGGGGGACAAAGUGACAGGUGGUGCAUGGUUGUCGUCAGCUCGUGUCGUGAGAUGUUGGGUUAAGUCCCGCAACGAGCGCAACCCUUAAGCUUAGUUGCCAUCAUUAAGUUGGGCACUCUAAGUUGACUGCCGGUGACAAACCGGAGGAAGGUGGGGAUGACGUCAAAUCAUCAUGCCCCUUAUGAUUUGGGCUACACACGUGCUACAAUGGACAAUACAAAGGGCAGCGAAACCGUGAGGUCAAGCAAAUCCCAUAAAGUUGUUCUCAGUUCGGAUUGUAGUCUGCAACUCGACUACAUG